GGAAAUUGGUUGCACCAACUUAUGUUAGGAUUUACUUUUAAAGAAGGUCCUUAGGAAAGGCAGCGUUUUAACCUAAGGGAGUGCAUUUUCAAGAGUGGAUUUUCAGGCAGGGAGCGCAGCAGGCGUUUCCCGACAUGCCCGUGAGCAAGACUCGAUCACGGCCCAGAAACCCUGCUUUGCAGAGGUGACCACCCCGGCCCGCCCGGAAGAACCGGGCCCGAGCUGCCGCGCCGCCACGGUGACUCGGCCAUAAGACCCGCCAGACGGGUGUGUUCCUGCAAGACCUCUCUUUCCCUAGGGGAAAACAGAGACAUCUCAUCACAGAUAGCUCUAGGUUUGCCUUGGCCAUGAUGUCCAAGUGGUCUGCUUGGUUCCAUGCCUGCGUCUGAGCUGGCUCUGUGGGAGGUGCCAAGCUGCCUUCGACACUGUGCAUGGCACUUUAAAGCUCUCAAUAAAUAUUUUUCAAGUGAAGUCAAUGAAGCAAGAAAGAAUCUCAACUAGUUUUGAGGUAAUGGUUCAAGAUGACAUUCUUUCUCCCUAAGGCAAUAACUCUCAAAGCAGCGGUGGAGAAAAGCAACCACUUCUUGGCAGGGAGGGGAAUGAUUUUUUUUUUGCUGGGGGUCAGUCAUGGGAAAGGUGGCAAGGGGAGGAAGGUAAAUUUAAUUUGAAAAGUCAUGUCCAGUAUAAUUACUAUGUCAAAGACUGACAGUUUGGUCCUCAAUUUCUAACUAAGCACAUUGCUGCUGAGAAUAAGGACUAUAUUUUCCAAUUAUGUGUGGCCAUGUGAUUAAGUUUUGGUGAAUGGAAUAUAAGUGGAAUUGUGUGGCAGCUUCUAGAAACUUUUCUUAAGUCAGCUGGCAUAUGCCUUUUGCCCCUUUCUUCUGUAUGCUGACCUGCUUCUUGGAUCACAGGUGUGAUAGAUGGAGUGAGAACGGGAUUUCUCAACCUCCACACCGUUCCCAUUUUGGGCUUAGAUAAUUCCUUGUUGCCAGGGGUUGUAGGACAUUUAGCAGCACCCCUGGCCUCUACUUUUUUGAUGCCAUUGCACCUCGUCCCCAUUAUGACAAUAAAAAUGUCUCCAGACAUUGUCAACUGUCCUUUAGGGGGGAAAUUAUCCCUGAUGAAGAGCCACUGAUCCAGAACCAUCUUAGACUGGGAGGUCCUCUUGGGAAAGAGGGAAAAAGCCUGGGUCCUCAACUACUUGGUGGGGCACCAGCCACAGACAGCCUGCCUCCAGAUUUUCCAAAUAGGAGAAAGAAAUUACCCACUAUUACUUUGAGUCUAUGCUAGUUGCAGUCAUACUUAAUUCUAAUUGGUUAAAUUGUCUGUAUUUUGAAAUACAAAAUAAAGCUCAAUAGAAUUUAUUCGGCAGCCAUAACAAAUGAAAUCAUGUCCUUUGCAGCAAUAUGGAUGGAAUUGGAGGGCAGUAUCCUUAGUGAACUAACUCAGGAAAUCAAAUACCACGUGUUUUCACUCAUAAGUGGGAGAUAAACAAUGGGUAAACAUGAACACAAAGAUAGAAAUAAUAGACAGUGGGGACUCCUGAAGGGGGGAGGUUGGGAGGAGGGCGAGGGUUGAAAAAUUACCCAUUGAGUACAAUGUUCACUAUUUGGGUAAAGGGUACAGUAGAAGCCCAAUCCCCACAAAUACAAAAUAUACUCAUGUAACAAACAUGCACAUGUACCCCC
rnacentral:lncRNA from 1 species